CAGGCUGUUAGAGGGAUGCAGACAGACAGGCUGUUAGAGGGAUGCAGACAGACAGGCUGUUAGAGGGAUGCAGACAGACAGGCUGUUAGUUAGAGGGAUGCAGACAGACAGGCUGUUAGAGAGAUGCAGACAGACAGGCUGUUAGAGGGAUGCAGACAGACAGGUUGUUAGAGGGAUGCAGACAGACAGGCUGUUAGAGAGAUGCAGACAGACAGGCUGUUAGAGGGAUGCAGACAGACAGGCUGUUAGAGAGAUGCAGACAGACAGGCUGUUAGAGGGAUGCAGACAGACAGGCUGUUAGAGAGAUGCAGACAGACAGGCUGUUAAAGGGAUGCAGACAGUCAGGCUGUUAGAGGGAUGCAGACAGACAGGCUGUUAGAGGGAUGCAGACAGACAGGCUGUUAGAGGGAUGCAGACAGACAGGCUGUUAGAGGGAUGCAGACAGACAGGCUGUUAGAGGGAUGCAGACAGUCAGGCUGUUAGAGGGAUGCAGACAGACAGGCUGUUAGAGGGAUGCAGACAGACAGGCUGUUAGAGGGAUGCAGACAGACAGGCUGUUAGUUAGAGGGAUGCAGACAGACAGGCUGUUAGUUAGAGGGAUGCAGACAGACAGGCUGUUAGAGGGAUGCAGACAGUCAGGCUGUUAGAGGGAUGCAGACAGACAGGCUGUUAGAGAGAUGCAGACAGUCAGGCUGUUAGAGGGAUGCAGACAGACAGGCUGUUAGAGGGAUGCAGACAGUCAGGCUGUUAGAGGGAUGCAGAC
rnacentral:lncRNA from 1 species